UGAGGAAUUUUGCACAAUGGGCGAAAGCCUGAUGCAGCAAUGCCGCGUGAAGGAUGAAGGUCUUCGGAUUGUAAACUUCUUUUGUAAAGGAAGAUUAUGACGGUACUUUACGAAUAAGAGACUGCUAACUACGUGCCAGCAGCAGCGGUAAUACGUAGGUCUCAAGCGUUAUCCGGAUUUAUUGGGCGUAAAGGGUCCGCAGGCGGAUUGUUAAGUUUGGUAUUAAAGCUCACGGCUCAACCGUGAAUCUGUAUCGAAAACUGGCAAUCUUGAGAGCAGGAGAGGUAGAUGGAACUCAUGGUGUAGGGGUAAAAUCCGUUGAUAUCAUGAGGAACACCGAAAGCGAAGGCAGUCUACUGGCCUGUCUCUGACGCUCAGGGACGAAAGCGUGGGGAGCGACCGGG
rnacentral:rRNA from 1 species